GGAUGAGUUGUGGGUCUUACAGUGGUGGACUUUGGACCACACGAUUGUAUUUCAUGAGCUUUCAUUUGGUAAACUGUAGAACCCAUGAUGGAUGACCUAUGAACUUCACAUUGGGUGACCAAUGGGCCUCACAGUCAGUAGGGUGUGACCUGGGGUUGAGAAACUGUGGAUCUCAUACUGGUUAUGCUGUUCAACUUCCCAGAAUGCCUCUCCAUGCAAAUGAGUACCUUCAGAACCUUAAGCCUCAGCCAAUGAGACUUCACCUUAAGAAGAACCCCUUCCCACUCUCCAAGGUUUAUAUAGCCCUUGUUGACCCCAAUAAAGAGCACGGCCUGUUUCGUUGAA